rnacentral:rRNA from 1 species
AUUGAACGCUGGCGGCAUGCUUUACACAUGCAAGUCGAACGGCAGCGGGGGCUUCGGCCUGCCGGCGAGUGGCGAACGGGUGAGUAAUGCAUCGGAACGUGCCCAUGUCGUGGGGGAUAACGUAGCGAAAGCUACGCUAACACCGCAUACGCCCUGAGGGGGAAAGCGGGGGAUUCUUCGGAACCUCGCGCGAUUGGAGCGGCCGAUGUCGGAUUAGCUAGUAGGUGAGGUAAAGGCUCACCUAGGCGACGAUCCGUAGCGGGUCUGAGAGGAUGAUCCGCCACACUGGGACUGAGACACGGCCCAGACUCCUACGGAGGCAGCAGUGGGAAUUUUGGACAAUGGGCGCAAGCCUGAUCCAGCCAUGCCGCGUGAGUGAAGAAGGCCU